rnacentral:rRNA from 1 species
GUUGUUGGGUAGGGGAGCGUUCUGUAAGCCUGUGAAGGUGUGUCGUGAGGCAUGCUGGAGGUAUCAGAAGUGCGAAUGCUGACAUAAGUAACGAUAAAGCGGGUGAAAAGCCCGCUCGCCGGAAGACCAAGGGUUCCUGUCCAACGUUAAUCGGGGCAGGGUGAGUCGACCCCUAAGGCGAGGCCGAAAGGCGUAGUCGAUGGGAAACGGGUUAAUAUUCCCGUACUUGGUGUUACUGCGAAGGGGGGACGGAGAAGGCUAUGUUGGCCGGGCGACGGUUGUCCCGGUUUAAGCGUGUAGGUGUGUGUUCCAGGUAAAUCCGGUUCACUUUAACACUGAGGCGUGACGACGAGGCACUACGGUGCUGAAGCAACAAAUGCCCUGCUUCCAGGAAAAGCCUCUAAGCAUCAGGUAACAUCAAAUCGUACCCCAAACCGACACAGGUGGUCAGGUAGAGAAUACCAAGGCGCUUGAGAGAACUCGGGUGAAGGAACUAGGCAAAAUGGUGCCGUAACUUCGGGAGAAGGCACGCUGACAUGUAGGUGAAGUGAUUUACUCAUGGAGCUGAAGUCAGUCGAAGAUACCAGCUGGCUGCAACUGUUUAUUAAAAACACAGCACUGUGCAAACACGAAAGUGGACGUAUACGGUGUGACGCCUGCCCGGUGCCGGAAGGUUAAUUGAUGGGGUCAGCGCAAGCGAAGCUCCUGAUCGAAGCCCCGGUAAACGGCGGCCGUAACUAUAACGGUCCUAAGGUAGCGAAAUUCCUUGUCGGGUAAGUUCCGACCUGCACGAAUGGCGUAAUGAUGGCCAGGCUGUCUCCACCCGAGACUCAGUGAAAUUGAACUCGCUGUGAAGAUGCAGUGUACCCGCGGCAAGACGGAAAGACCCCGUGAACCUUUACUAUAGCUUGACACUGAACAUUGAGCCUUGAUGUGUAGGAUAGGUGGGAGGCUUUGAAGUGUGGACGCCAGUCUGCAUGGAGCCGACCUUGAAAUACCACCCUUUAAUGUUUGAUGUUCUAACGUGGACCCGUUAUCCGGGUUGCGGACAGUGUCUGGUGGGUAGUUUGACUGGGGCGGUCUCCUCCUAAAGAGUAACGGAGGAGCACGAAGGUUGGCUAAUCCUGGUCGGACAUCAGGAGGUUAGUGCAAUGGCAUAAGCCAGCUUGACUGCGAGCGUGACGGCGCGAGCAGGUGCGAAAGCAGGUCAUAGUGAUCCGGUGGUUCUGAAUGGAAGGGCCAUCGCUCAACGGAUAAAAGGUACUCCGGGGAUAACAGGCUGAUACCGCCCAAGAGUUCAUAUCGACGGCGGUGUUUGGCACCUCGAUGUCGGCUCAUCACAUCCUGGGGCUGAAGUAGGUCCCAAGGGUAUGGCUGUUCGCCAUUUAAAGUGGUACGCGAGCUGGGUUUAGAACGUCGUGAGACAGUUCGGUCCCUAUCUGCCGUGGGCGCUGGAGAACUGAGGGGGGCUGCUCCUAGUACGAGAGGACCGGAGUGGACGCAUCACUGGUGUUCGGGUUGUCAUGCCAAUGGCACUGCCCGGUAGCUAAAUGCGGAAGAGAUAAGUGCUGAAAGCAUCUAAGCACGAAACUUGCCCCGAGAUGAGUUCUCCCUGAGACUUAGAGUCUCCUGAAGGAACGUUGAAGACGACGACGUUGAUAGGCCGGGUGUGUAAGCGCAGCGAUGCGUUGAGCUAACCGGUACUAAUGAACCGUGAGGCUUAACCUUACAACGCCGAAG